rnacentral:rRNA from 1 species
UACGUAGGGUGCAGGCGUUAAUCGGAAUUACUGGGCGUAAAGCGUGCGCAGGCGGUUUUGUAAGCCAGAUGUGAAAUCCCCGGGCUUAACCUGGGAAUGGCAUUUGGGACUGCAAGGCUCGAGUGCGGCAGAGGAGACUGGAAUUCCUGGUGUAGCAGUGAAAUGCGUAGAUAUCAGGAGGAACACCGAUGGCGAAGGCAGGUCUCUGGGCCACUACUGACGCUGAGAAGCGAAAGCAUGGGGAGCGAACAGG